rnacentral:sRNA from 1 species
UCAGAGCUGGGCUGGUCUCUGACAGGCUCAGCUGGAGAGGGACGGGUUGGGACGCACUGUGCUUUUGCCUUUCCCCCUCCGCGAGCAGAAGCUGACUCAGCAGGAGCGAGGGUCGCAGAGCUGGGUGAGCGGAAAUGUCCCUCCCAGAGUAAGUCGCAGGGCCCGCCCCGCGUCUGACGGAGCGGAGGUCUUCCUGGGGGAUUUCAGUCUCCACAUAGUUUUGGAGCCGGACUUUUGAAGAAUGAUUCAUGAAUCCGGAAUGGGUGACAGCAUCAUCACGGCAUUUUAUUGACAGACCAUGGAUUCUUACAAUGCACCAGAAUCAACUCCUAGUGCAUCCUCAAGACCUGAAGAUUACUUUAUAGGUGCCACUCCUCUGCAGAAACGAUUAGAAUCGGUCAGGAAGCAGAGUUCAUUUAUCCCGACUCCACCUCGAAGGAAAAUUCCCCAGUGUUCGCAGUUGCAGGAAGAUGUUGACCCUCAAAAGGUUGCAUUCCUUCUGCAUAAACAGUGGACUUUAUAUAGUUUAACUCCCUUAUAUAAAUUCUCCUAUAGUAAUCUCAAAGAGUAUUCUAGACAUCUCAAUGCUUUUAUUGUUGCUGAAAAGCAAAAAGGACUUGCUGUGGAAGUGGGAGAAGACUUCAACAUCAAAGUGAUUUUUUCUACUCUCCUAGGAAUGAAAGGAACACAAAGGGACCCGGAAGCAUUUCUUGUCCAGAUUCUGUGUCAUAAAUACCUUAUUGGAGUGUUAGCAUAUUUGACAGAACUGGCAAUUUUUCAAAUUGAGUGAAGCCUUAAUUGGACUAUAAGUUAUAGAUUAUAUACU